CGGUAGUUUGCUUGCAUUGUUUUCAAUACACUUAUACAGAAGACUACCAGAAAAUUACAAACUUGGAGCAGUCUGAGCCUCAGUUUUGGCGUUUUCAUGAGUCUUAAUUACGAAUGAAAUUAGGCACUUUGAAGCCAAACUCGGAAAGAAGCAGAAACAGAAUUGGAUGAGCUGAUAUAGAAUGAGACAGGAAAAACAUGUUAUCAUUAUGAGAAUACGAUAUUACAAUACAGACCAUUGAUGCUGGAAGUGAGUGGAUAGUGUUACCGGAGACUCAGGGAUCCAGAAAAUAGAUCCAUAAAUUGUACAGUGUAUUCAUGAAAGAGGAUCAAAUAAAAAUGUUGAAUCCAAAAGUAACAUUCUUUGUUUGUCUGUUAGCAUUUGUAUAUUGAUGUAAAUCUAAUAACUAUCAAUUUUAAGCAUGCAGAUUCAUAAAUAGAUAGUAGAAGAAUCUGAAACAUAUCUUUAUAUUCUGCAUUUUGAAGUAACAUAAUUAAUACAAGGUCAAUAUUAAAUGAUUAAUUAAUUUCAAAACUGACAAAAUGUUUUUGUGAGAAAAAAGAAAGAGCUCUAAUUGUUAUAUUGUACCUCAUGUACCACUGAUGUUGGCGUGAGUGAAAUAAAAAUGAUGAUGAUGAUGAUGAACUAGUUAAAAG